GUUCGCUUUGUUUGGCAAUUAGAGCAAACUUCGGUUCUCACAGAAUCCGACCGAGUGGAAUUUCGCAACGCGAGUUUCACAAGUCAAUUCCCUUGAAGCAAAACCGACGGUUUUCCCUGUGGUUUCACUCCACACCUCUGCGUUGGUUGCUGAACUUCCCCCUCGAGUUUCUCUUCCCACACACACCACUCUACUUCAGAGGCAGCCAUGGAGACGGUUUCGUCAGCCUUCCAGAGAAUCUGCAACCCGUGUCCUUGCCCACAGAUGUUGAAACAAAAGUCACAACCAAGGUUCUGGGCCUUUGUUUCUACGGCUCUAGAAAUCGGCAGCUUGCUUCACGUCGCAGAGUUGGAGUUCCAGUACUGAAUUCUGGGCCAGAGGUGCAGAUCCCUCCCUUCUUAGUCCACAUUCUUCAUUCCAUCCUGCUGUGGCGUGUAAGCAUGAGCAGGCUUGCCUGCCCCCACUCUGUUAGAAUGCUAAUCAAUUUGAGACCAAGGAGCAAUUCCUAUCUUUAUACCCUUAGAUACUGAACAUCGCACUGGCUACUGAACUGCGUUUUCUUGAUUGCGAGUGCUCGCACUCUGCCUUACCCCUACCUGCACCCACCCACCACAGACCACCACCCUCCCUUGGUGCGUUGCAUGUCCAAGAUGCUUGACAUAUGCUUCUGAAUGACUACGUGAAGGAAGCACCUCCCACAUUUGGUUAUCUCAAUGAGCACUGCUUGCCAUUUGAUUGGAACUAGACUCCCUAAUUCUUACGGUAGGUUCACCUGCCGCAUGUCCUCCCAUGGUCUGGGCUCCACCGCUACGUAGCUGUAUCACUCAGCAGUCACACAACCUCGCUUCACCUGCCUCACUCGCAUUUCUUCAUCUGUAAAAUGGGGAUAAAAUAGUACUUACCUCAUAGGGUCACAGCCAGGAUUAAAUGAGAGAAUCCACAAAAAGCCCUGAGAAGAGUGCCUAGCAAUACAUAGCAAAAUGCUCAGUAAAAAUUAGCUACUGUUAUUUUAAAC
rnacentral:lncRNA from 1 species